CGGGGGUUAGCUCAACGGUAGAGCGGCCACAGGGGUGGCGAGACCGGGGUUCGACUCCACGGCCCCCGACCA
rnacentral:tRNA from 1 species